rnacentral:rRNA from 1 species
GAUGAACGCUGGCGGCGUGCCUAAUACAUGCAAGUCGAGCGAACAGACGAGGAGCUUGCUCCUCUGACGUUAGCGGCGGACGGGUGAGUAACACGUGGAUAACCUACCUAUAAGACUGGGAUAACUUCGGGAAACCGGAGCUAAUACCGGAUAAUAUAUUGAACCGCAUGGUUCAAUAGUGAAAGACGGUUUUGCUGUCACUUAUAGAUGGAUCCGCGCCGCAUUAGCUAGUUGGUAAGGUAACGGCUUACCAAGGCGACGAUGCGUAGCCGACCUGCGAGGGUGAUCGGCCACACUGGAACGGAGACACGGACCAUACUCCUACGGGAGGCAGCAGUAGGGAAUCUUCCGCAAUGGGCGAAAGCCUGACGGAGCAACGCCGAGUGAGUGAUGAAGGUCUUCGGAUCGUAAAACUCUGUUAUUAGGGAAGAACAAAUGUGUAAGUAACUAUGCACGUCUUGACGGUACCUAAUCAGAAAGCCACGGCUAACUACGUG